AAUCAUCAAUCAAAAAUUAUCAUCAAUAGAGUUAUAUUAUUGUUUGUGUACACGCCCAUUACUGUAAUUUGAACUUCUCUCCCGCGUUUCGUACUCCCAAGUUCAUACCCACAAUACACACAUAUACAUGGUGUAUGUAUAUAUAUAUAUAUAUGCACAGAGAGAGAGAGAGAGAGAGUCAUAGAAAACCCUCAUGCGAAGCAAAGCCGCCUCACCCACUACUUUUAAACAAUACCCGAAAAGCGAAAUGCUCAAUCUGAUGGACCAUUUUGGUGAUUGUACGAUUCUCAAUUCUACAUUCAAACCCUAGAAAUAAAGAUCGUCCUUUUCUUCGAUUUCAUCUGAUUCUUUAUUGCAGUGACUAUUUUUUAUCACUGUUAAUGUUGAGUUCAUCAAACUAUAUAUAUAUAUAUAGACUUAACCCUUGUAAGUUUGGCACUGAUUUUCAAGUCCUCGUCAAUCGAUCUUCAAUGAUGGUCAUGGCUGCUAUUCCAAAGGGUGUUUGAGGCUUUGCUUUCGUAGAUCAUUCCAAGAUUUAUUUCCUAUAGUACAUUCAAUUUCCCAGAAUAGGUAGUCAAUCAGAUUUUCUUGGUAUGAUUCACUGCUUCCACAGUGUGUAUCUCUCUGAUCAGUGUGGAUGGCCAUCCUUAUGCCUUAGUUUUUGAAUGCUCAUCUACAUCAGCCGUUUUCAAUGUUAUUUAGUGCUAAAAAAUGAACGACUACAGUACAUUGGAGCUCACUCUCAGGGAUAUUCUUCGUGUGAUCAGUCCCUUAGAAGAAGACUGGGCAAAACGAUUUCAAUUUAUUAAUGAGCUUCGAGCUGUUGUUGAAUCUGUGGAAAGUCUUAGAGGAGCAACUGUGGAGCCAUAUGGAUCAUUUGUCUCUAAUCUCUUUACACGGUGGGGAGAUCUUGAUCUAUCAAUAGAGUUACCCAAUGGUUCAUUUAUUUCAUCUGCCGGAAAGAAACUCAAGCAGACUUUACUAGGAGAUUUACAAAAAGCUUUAAGGAGGAGAGGUAAUUUGAUUUAACUUAAUACUUCCAAUUUUUU